GACGAACGCUGGCGGCGUGCUCAACACAUGCGAGUCGAACGGAAAGGCCCUGCUUUUGUGGGGUGCUCGAGUGGCGAACGGGUGAGUAACACGUGAGUAACCUGCCCUUGACUUUGGGAUAACUUCAGGAAACUGGGGCUAAUACCGGAUAGGAGCUCCUGCUGCAUGGUGGGGGUUGGAAAGUUUCGGCGGUUGGGGAUGGACUCGCGGCUUAUCAGCUUGUUGGUGGGGUAGUGGCUUACCAAGGCUUUGACGGGUAGCCGGCCUGAGAGGGUGACCGGCCACAUUGGGACUGAGAUACGGCCCAGACUCCUACGGGAGGCAGCAGUGGGGAAUAUUGCACAAUGGGCGGAAGCCUGAUGCAGCAACGCCGCGUGCGGGAUGACGGCCUUCGGGUUGUAAACCGCUUUCGCCUGUGACGAAGCGUGAGUGACGGUAAUGGGUAAAGAAGCACCGGCUAACUACGUG
rnacentral:rRNA from 1 species